GAUGAACGCUAGCUACAGGCUUAACACAUGCAAGUCGAGGGGAAACGGCAUCGAAAGCUUGCUUUUGAUGGGCGUCGACCGGCGCACGGGUGAGUAACGCGUAUCCAACCUGCCCAUCACUUGGGAAUAACCUUGCGAAAGUAAGACUAAUGCCCAAUGACAUCCCACGAAGGCAUCCGAAUGGGAUUAAAGAUUUAUCGGUGAUGGAUGGGGAUGCGUCUGAUUAGCUUGUUGGCGGGGUGACGGCCCACCAAGGCAACGAUCAGUAGGGGUUCUGAGAGGAAGGGCCCCCACAUGGGAACUGAGACACGGUCCAAACUCCUACGGGAGGCAGCAGUGAGGAAUAUUGGUCAAUGGGCGAGAGCCUGAACCAGCCAAGUAGCGUGCAGGAUGACGGCCCUAUGGGUUGUAAACUGCUUUUAUAAGGGAAUAAAGUGGGUCACGUGUGACUUUUUGCAUGUACCUUAUGAAUAAGGACCGGCUAAUUCCGUG
rnacentral:rRNA from 1 species